GGUUAGGUUCUGGUCUGUGGCUGGAGUAGGGCGCUUUGGGGGGUGGGGGGGUAUUAGGUUAGCCGUGAGUAGCCGCCCGUCAGUAGGGAUCUUCGGCCGAGUUAGCCUCUCCUUGCUUCCUUCUGCGUUUGCCUCUCUCAGUUCUGUAGCCGCCUUGCUUCUGUUUCCUUGCUAGUCAGCCUUCGUUCGCCUGCCUGGCUGCUCUCUGCUC
rnacentral:lncRNA from 1 species